rnacentral:tRNA from 1 species
UAAUAUGAAUACAAAAUUUCAUGUAAUUUAAUUUCGACUUAAAAAUUGGAUAAAAAUAUCCCAUAUUUU